rnacentral:rRNA from 1 species
CAUGCAAGUCGAACGGAGCUUUAUUCCGGAAGUUUUCGGAUGGAAGGGAUAAAGCUUAGUGGCGGACGGGUGAGUAACACGUGAGCAACCUGCCCUUUGGAGGGGAAUAACGUCUGGAAACGGACGCUAAUACCGCAUAAUGUGGGAGAGGGACAUCCCUUUUCCACCAAAGAUUUUAUCGCCAAAGGAUGGGCUCGCGUCCGAUUAGAUAGUUGGCGGGAUAACAGCCCACCAAGUCGACGAUCGGUAGCCGGACUGAGAGGUUGAACGGCCACAUUGGGACUGAGACACGGCCCAGACUCCUACGGGAGGCAGCAGUGGGGGAUAUUGCACAAUGGGGGAAACCCUGAUGCAGCGACGCCUCGUGAGGGAUGACGGUCUUCGGAUUGUAAACCUUUGUCAUCAGGGACGAAGAAAGUGACGGUACCUGAGGAGGAAGCGACGGCUAACUACGUGCCAGCAGCCGCGGUAAUACGUAGGUCGCAAGCGUUGUCCGGAAUUACUGGGUGUAAAGGGAGCGUAGGCGGGAGUGCAAGUUGAAUGUCUAAACUAUGGGCUUAACCCAUAAGCGCGUUCAAAACUGCAUUUCUUGAGUGGAGUAGAGGCAGGCGGAAUUCCUAGUGUAGCGGUGAAA